GGACGCUAUCCCUAAUAAACACCAGAAAGGGUUUGUUCAGCUUGAUGGAGAGCGGCAUCUCCAUGGGCAGCGUCUGGACUCCGGAGGCGGCCGCACCUUCUGUUCCCUUCUCAUCCAUCUUCAGCACCGCCUUGUGCACCGCCUGCAGGAAUCAGGAUCGAGUCUCACUGUGGAUUUUGGGAGAGCUGAACUUCCGUAUUCAGGACCAUGUCCCUGACAGCCCCGCAGAGAUCUUGCCUGACCUGAGGGCCUCUGAUUCUCACCCAUGCUGACCAACUUUGUGUGUGCAUCGGGCAGUCUCUCACCCUCAGACUUGGGGAAUCUAUAGAAUGUGACAAGGAGACCAAUGCAUCCACCAAAAUGAACAUCAUCAUCAUCAUCAUCAUCAUCAUCAACACAAUCACCGUGCUGGGUGUCUACUUGGACUAACAUAAAGUGCACAGCCUAUGGGUCAAUAGAAGGUGGAGUCCUGGGCACCCAGAGACAGCAUGGAGAAGGCUGCAGAGAUGCUCAAGGGGGAGAAGAAGAUGUUCUUGUUGGGGCUAUUGGAGGCCAGCUUCCUAUAAAGGUUGCAACUGAAGUCUGUGUUUCGCU